GUGAUUGGAUGUCAGGUCUCAUCUGUACACAACGCAGAGGAAACCGAGUACUAACUGUUACAUGUACAAGGCCUGGGUAAUUAAUCAUCAACAAGCAAAAAAAAAACAAAUGCUGUCUGUCAGCGAACGGCACCUGUACGGCAGGGCUUCACAAUCGACAAUGAGAUGACCAGCAUCAGGGCAAUAAAAACACACUCUGCCUUUGCCAGAAUGCUGCUGAGCACUCCUGCGCACCCCAAAAGCUCCUUCCCCGCCUGGCUUCACAACACCCCUGCAGCCUUUACCUGCCCUUUACCAGGACCUUAAACAGCAACCCUGUCUUACAGUAUUUUACUGGUGAAAAGACUGUACGGUGUGGUAAAAUAAAUUAAUCUGCCAGCAUGGUGGCAGUAGAGAGAGAUGUAACCUUCUGCUAAUUUAGGUGCACCACUAAACUUUCAGAAACACUGCUUUCAAAAUAUUACAAUAAAACUAGUCCUUUUAAAGCCUCAAAA